UGAUCCAGCUCCACCUCAGGGGUCCGGUACAGCGUAGAGAGGCGUUGAAAAUUUUCAGAAAUCGAUACCUGAGGACGAGGAGACGGGACGAUUGCUUCACGUGAUAACGCCCACAAACCUUUAACAUUUGAUGGCAUCCACAAUUAACAACUUACAUACGUUUAUGCACAUGUGUACAUACAUACUGCAUCAAAAAAGCUUAAACCAGUCAGACAAGUUCUCAUUUUGAUGGGAAGUUGAUACAAGAAGACAUGGAUCAACAACAAAGUGUGGCGAAUGAUAUAAAUAAAAUUCUAAGGGGGAUUGCGUCCAUGUCGAACACGCUCGAAGAUCUGAGCAGUCGUCUACAACAUAUGGAGGAGGAGUUGCAAAAAAUUCAAAAAAAUCAACCGGAGUUUCCUCUUAUCUCAGAUGAGGAGCCCCAAGAGGAAACCUUCGUCCCACCCCCUUUCCCUGAGAAUAUUGAAGAUCUUGAUGUCUUUUGUGAGUGGGUGGCGAAUGUGGAAAUUUUUUUUAAGGAGAAUAUGAUCUCAGAGUAUAAACAAGUAACACUUACACCCCGUUCCCGAGUUCAACUUAAGGAGAGAAAGGAAAGGAAAUGGGUGGAAAUGAGAAGAAAAUAAAAGAAAUUGGUGUUCAUGAGUUUCAUUAAAGGAGGGAAUUGGAAGGAAAUGGGAGGAUCACUUUCCCUCCUAACUUUCCUUCCGAUUUGGGAGGAUUUGGAAAGAAAAAACAAAAUGAUUCAUUUUCCUUUCACUUCUCUCCAACUCGGGAACACAAAAGAAAAUUUUGUUUUCUUUUCCUUUCUCUUCUUUUCUCUCGUGACUUUCUUUUCUCUUCUCUUCUUUUCUUUUGUUAAACUCGGGAACGAGGCGUUAUAGUCGGAAAUUUUUUUAAGGAGAAUAUGAUCGCAGAUUCCUUUUGUGUUAUCUGUCCUUUAUUUUUACCACUUUAACAAUAUAUUACACAUUGAGAUCUCA